UCGCUGUAUGAAUGUUUUGUGAGCCCACAUUUCAGUUAGAUGGCACUGAGCAGUGGUAUUCCCCACAGUUUUGAUCACACCUUGUAAACAUCAUCACGAGAGGACUGCCAGAACGGCUUCAGAAGUGGCACGAAGGAUGGAUUAGUGCAUCGGAAGCAUGGGGAAGGGUGUUUGAAGGGAGAUUCAUAGCAAUGUGUCAUUUACGAUCUGUAUUCAUCUGUAGUCACACAUGCAUAACUGUCUCCCCAACUACAGUCAAGUCUAUAGAAGCUGGGACAUUUCUUCUGCUUGCCUGUGUUUACUUAGUUCAAGGACAAUGUCUGGCGUAUGAAAAAUGAAGCUACCUCUAGUUGCUGCAUAAAAGAAAACGUAAUUUUCAAGCUGCUUGGCAUGCUUGGCUAAUGGAAUUCAACAAUUGUUUUAAAACACCCUUUGCUUAAUACCAUAAUAAUAAACAAUGUAAAGUUA